AAUGCCCCAUGGUGAUGUCCUCAGGCAUCUGAGGUCAUCUAAAGAUCCGUCGGAUGGGGAUAGGCUCGCGUGACAUCAGCUAGACGGCGGGGUAACGGCCCACCGUGGCGACGAUGUCUAGGGGUUCUGAGAGGAAGGUCCCCCACACUGGAACUGAGACACGGUCCAGACUCCUACGGGAGGCAGCAGUGAGGAAUAUUGGUCAAUGGCCGGAAGGCUGAACCAGCCAUGCCGCGUGAAGGUCAGUGCCCUAUGGGCGUUAAACUUCUUUUGUGCGGGAGCAAUAAUGGUCACGUGUGGCCAGACGAGAGUACCGUACGAAUAAGCAUCGGCUAACUCCGUGCCAGCAGCCGCGGUAAUACGGGGGAUGCAAGCGUUAUCCGGAUUUAUUGGGUUUAAAGGGUGCGUAGGCUGUGAGGUAAGUCAGCGGUGAAAUGCCCCCGCUCAACGGGGUGAAGUGCCAUUGAUACUGCCUUGCUGGAAUGCGGAUGCCGUGGGAGGAAUGUGUGGUGUAGCGGUGAAAUGCAUAGAUAUCACACAGAACACCGAUUGCGAAGGCAUCUCACGAAUCCGCGAUUGACGCUGAUGCACGAAAGCGUGGGUAUCAAACAGGAUUAGAUACCCUGGUAGUCCACGCUGUAAACGAUGAUGACUAACCGUCGGCGAUACACAGUCGGUGGCCAAGC
rnacentral:rRNA from 1 species